AUACGGAGGAUCCAAGCGUUAUCCGGAUUUAUUGGGCUUAAAGGGUGCGUAGGCGGACCGGUAAGUCAGCUGUGAAAGUUUGCGGCUCAACCGUAAAAUUGCAGUUGAUACUGGCAGGCUUGAGUGUGCAUGAGGCGGGCGGAAUUUGUGGUGUAGCGGUGAAAUGCUUAGAUAUCACGAGGAACUCCAAUUGCGAAGGCAGCUCACUGGGGCAUAACUGACGCUGAUGCACGAAGGUGUGGGUAUCAAACAGGAUUAGAUACCCUGGUAGUCCGCACAGUAAGCUAUGAAUACUCGGUGUUUGCGAUAUACAGUAAGCGGCCAAGCGAAAGCAUUAAGUAUUCCACCUGGGGAGUACGCCGACAACGGUGAAACUCAAAUGAAUUGACGGGG
rnacentral:rRNA from 1 species